UACGAAGGGGGCUAGCGUUGCUCGGAAUCACUGGGCGUAAAGGGCGCGUAGGCGGCGUUUUAAGUCGGGGGUGAAAGCCUGUGGCUCAACCACAGAAUUGCCUUCGAUACUGGGACGCUUGAGUGUGGUAGAGGUUGGUGGAACUGCGAGUGUAGAGGUGAAAUUCGUAGAUAUUCGCAAGAACACCGGUGGCGAAGACGGCCAACUGGACCAUCACUGACGCUGAGGCGCGAAAGCGUGGGGAGCAAACAGG
rnacentral:rRNA from 1 species